rnacentral:lncRNA from 1 species
GGAAGUUCUUGGUGCCGUGGAUAUGGAACCCCGCGACUCUCUCUUGCGCUGGACAGCCAUGAGCAAGAUCUUCUUCACUGCGAUCUUCAUCGUGUAAGAUAUUCAAGAGAGUUUAGGGGAAAAAGAAAACAAAAAAAACAGGAGAACUUACGGGAAGUGUUAAUCAAUCACUGUACAUGCCGGAUGGAACGAACUACUUUUUGGAAAUAAUGAAGAAAAAGGAUGCUUGUCUAACCAGAGCAAGGAGUGUGCUGUCGUCUGGAAGCGUGAGAACUUACAAAUUUCUUACCGGAAAUGCCAAUUCCAGAGCUCCCAGGAUUUUGUUGAAAACGCUAGAUAGAUCUAGAAAUGGAGAGAAAUGUUAGAAUUCCCUGCCGAAAAUCUACCAGUCACAAGGAUUUCGCUAGCUAGAACUAGUAACGGAGAGAAAUCUUAGAAUGCGGCUGAUAUCGAGCUGCGCUGAUUACAAAUCCACCAGUCAGCCGCGAAGGACAUCCAGCGUGAGCGAAGAACCCUAAAAACCCUAACGAACCAGUUUGUGUUCGAAUCCCG